CCCUCAGAGAAACAACAACCAAGAAGAGGGCAGCACCCACGCAGCACUCGACGCGAGUUUCACACAGUACAUCGCCGAGAACUUCCCGGCCUACACCUGCAUACUACAGCUGGUGCUGCCGCGGUUCAUGGUGCUAGAUCUGACUUCUUACAAAAAUGCCGUCAUGCUGUUCCGAUUGGGAAAGGUUUUUUCUCAGCAACAUCUAGUUCCAAUAUUGAAAGGAUUAGAAAAGGCGAUAAUUGAAAAUAAUUCAGGGUUUUACGCUAGUCCGGAGUCAAGUUUUAACACCUCUGCACUUGAUUCAAGUUUUUCAUAUAACGGCAUGGCUCUACACAAAUGGGUCG